rnacentral:rRNA from 1 species
CAUACCAGCACUAAAGCACCGGAUCCCAUCAGAACUCCGAAGCUAAGCGUGCUUGGGCGAGAGUAGUACUAGGAUGGGUGACCUCCUGGGAAGUCCUCGUGUUGCAUUCC